UACGGAGGAUGCAAGCGUUAUCCGGAAUGAUUGGGCGUAAAGCGUCUGCAGGUGGCAGUUCAAGUCUGCUGUCAAAGACCGGGGCUUAACUUCGGAAAGGCAGUGGAAACUGAACAGCUAGAGUAUGGUAGGGGCAGAGGGAAUUCCUGGUGUAGCGGUGAAAUGCGUAGAGAUCAGGAAGAACAUCGGUGGCGAAGGCGCUCUGCUGGACCAUAACUGACACUCAGGGACGAAAGCUAGGGGAGCGAAAGGG
rnacentral:rRNA from 1 species